UACGUAGGGUGCGAGCGUUGUCCGGAAUUAUUGGGCGUAAAGAGCUCGUAGGCGGCUUGUCACGUCGGUUGUGAAAGCCCGGGGCUUAACCCCGGGUCUGCAGUCGAUACGGGCAGGCUAGAGUUCGGUAGGGGAGAUCGGAAUUCCUGGUGUAGCGGUGAAAUGCGCAGAUAUCAGGAGGAACACCGGUGGCGAAGGCGGAUCUCUGGGCCUUACCUGACGCUGAGGAGCGAAAGCGUGGGGAGCGAACAGG
rnacentral:rRNA from 1 species